rnacentral:lncRNA from 1 species
UAGAACUAAAUGCCAGAACAGAGCAGAGCAGAUCAGUAGCAAGAAAGGAACAGGGCACGACGGAAGGGCUGACGCGAUGGAACAGAACUGGCACCGUCGAGACAGUGGCUGCGCGACGGAGGCAGAAGGCGAGGCCGGCGACGGUGGCUGGACGUUGAGGAACGGCGACGAGAGAUGGCUGCUUCGGUGCUUCCUCCAAGCUGCGUUCGAGUUCUGUUCUG